AGCUCCAAUAGCGUAUAUUAAAGUUGUUGCGGUUAAAAAGCUCGUAGUUGGAUUUCUGUUGAGAACGGCCGGUCCGCACUAUGUGCGUGUAUCUGGUUCGGUCUUGGCAUCCUCUUGGAGAACGUAACUGCGCUUGAUUGCGUGGUGCGGUAUUCAAGACUUUUGCUUUGAGGAAAUUAGAGUGUUCACGGCAGGCAAGCGCCUUGAAUAUAUUAGCAUGGAAUAAUAAUAUAGGAUCUCGGUUCUAUUUUGUUGGUUUCUAGAAUCAGGAUAAUGAUUAAUAGGGAUAAUUGGGGGCAUUUGUAUUAACGCGUCAGAGGUGGAAUUCUUGGAUUGCGUUGCGACAAACUACUGCGAAAGCAUUUGCCAAGGAUGUUU
rnacentral:rRNA from 1 species